AGAGCGAACGCUGGCGGCGUGCUUAACACAUGCAAGUCGAACGCGCAGCAUUCUGUAGCAAUACAGGAUGUGGGCGCGUGGCGAACGGGUGCGUAACACGUGGAUAACCUUCCUUCAGGUGGGGAAUAACCCAGCGAAAGUUGGGCUAAUACCGCAUAACAUGACGAUGCCACAUGGUGUUGUCUUCAAAGGCGCAAGUCGCCAGAAGAGGGAUCCGCGGCCGAUUAGCUUGUUGGCGAGGUAAUGGCUCACCAAGGCAUUGAUCGGUAGCCGGACUGAGAGGUUGGCCGGCCACACUGGAACUGAGACACGGUCCAGACUCCUACGGGAGGCAGCAGUGGGGAAUCUUGCACAAUGGACGAAAGUCUGAUGCAGCAACGCCGCGUGGGGGAUGAAGCUUCUCGGAGUGUAAACCCCUUUCGACCCGGACGAAUGCCCGCAAGGGUUUGACGGUACGGGUAUAAGAAGCCCGGCUAACUACGUGCCAGCAG
rnacentral:rRNA from 1 species